GGCUCAAUGGUCUAGAGGUAUGAUUCUCGCUUUGGGUUACGUCAAGUACGCCAACUCUCCUGCGAGAGGCCCCGGGUUCGAUCCCCGGUUGAGCCC
rnacentral:tRNA from 1 species